UGUAAAUAGCAGAUAAACAUCAAUAAAACCCUACCUAAAAACAAAAACUCCGAUCAAAACCGUCAUGGCACCACCGUCUGCCGCCGACGCCGGAAUUCCGACGCCAAAAAAGUCGUUAGGUUUCGUGGCUAACGCAAUCAAACAAAAACACAGCUUCAUCCAGUUCUUCGCCAUGACCGGAAUCUUCCUGCUGAGCAUGCGAUCGGUAGGUCAAAAAUACCGAAUUCAGGAUCUAGAGGACGAUACCGCCACUUUGGAGAAAGAACACAAUUCACUCACCGAUCGCAUGAAUCACAUCAAGAGUAGUCUUCUCGCUGAAGCAGCUCUCGAUUCCACCGGUACUUUCGCCGCAAAGCUCCGUGUUCUGUUUAGCGACAGUUAAUUGUCUACGCCGAUGUCUUUUACAAAAUUCUCACCUACAUGCACUGAUGAACUACGACUAGAACUCUAGAAGAUGUGGCUGAUGAUUUGGACCAACUAGAAGAUGUUGACUGUGUUGCUAAUAUUAACUGUAUGAAUUGUUUUCAUCUUCAUCUCCGAAGUAUAAAGAUUUUGGUAGAGAUUUACAUUCACAUAUCCAAAAUUUACUUUAAUCAAUAAUCACAAAUGGUCUUUCGAUUGGUCAA